CUGGAGAACUGAGGGGGGCUGCUCCUAGUACGAGAGGACCGGAGUGGACGCAUCACUGGUGUUCGGGUUGUCAUGCCAAUGGCACUGCCCGGUAGCUAAAUGCGGAAGAGAUAAGUGCUGAAAGCAUCUAAGCACGAAACUUGCCCCGAGAUGAGUUCUCCCUGACUCCUUGAGAGUCCUGAAGGAACGUUGAAGACGACGACGUUGAUAGGCCGGGUGUGUAAGCGCAGCGAUGCGUUGAGCUAACCGGUACUAAUGAACCGUGAGGCUUAACCUUACAACGCCGAAGCUGUU
rnacentral:rRNA from 1 species